rnacentral:rRNA from 1 species
GACGAACGCUGGCGGCGUGCCUAAUACAUGCAAGUCGAGCGGACCGACGGGAGCUUGCUCCCUUAGGUCAGCGGCGGACGGGUGAGUAACACGUGGGUAACCUGCCUGUAAGACUGGGAUAACUCCGGGAAACCGGGGCUAAUACCGGAUGCUUGAUUGAACCGCAUGGUUCAAUCAUAAAAGGUGGCUUUUAGCUACCACUUGCAGAUGGACCCGCGGCGCAUUAGCUAGUUGGUGAGGUAACGGCUCACCAAGGCGACGAUGCGUAGCCGACCUGAGAGGGUGAUCGGCCACACUGGGACUGAGACACGGCCCAGACUCCUACGGGAGGCAGCAGUAGGGAAUCUUCCGCAAUGGACGAAAGUCUGACGGAGCAACGCCGCGUGAGUGAUGAAGGUUUUCGGAUCGUAAAACUCUGUUGUUAGGGAAGAACAAGUACCGUUCGAAUAGGGCGGUACCUUGACGGUACCUAACCAGAAAGCCACGGCUAACUACGUGCCAGCAGCCGCGGUAAUACGUAGGUGGCAAGCGUUGUCCGGAAUUAUUGGGCGUAAAGCGCGCGCAGGCGGUUUCUUAAGUCUGAUGUGAAAGCCCCCGGCUCAACCGGGGAGGGUCAUUGGAAACUGGGGAACUUGAGUGCAGAAGAGGAGAGUGGAAUUCCACGUGUAGCGGUGAAAUGCGUAGAGAUGUGGAGGAACGCCAGUGGCGAAGGCGACUCUCUGGUCUGUAACU